AAUGGGGGCACCCUGAUCAGCAUGCCGCGUGUGUGAAGAAGGCCUUCGGGUUGUAAAGUCCUUUCGUGGGGGACGAAAAGGUGGUUCCUAAUACGAGCUGCUGUUGACGUGAACCCAAGAAGAAGCACCGGCUAACUCCGUGCCAGCAGCCGCGGUAAUACGGGGGGUGCAAGCGUUAAUCGGAAUCACUGGGCGUAAAGGGUGCGUAGGCGGUACGUUAGGUCUGUCGUGAAAUCCCCGGGCUCAACCUGGGAAUGGCGGUAGAAACCGGCGCACUAGAGUAUGGGAGAGGGUGGUGGAAUUCCAGGUGUAGCGGUGAAAUGCGUAGAGAUCGGGAGGAACAUCAGUGGCGAAGGCGACCUUCUGGACCAGUACUGACGCUGAGGCACGAAAGCGUGGGGAGCAAACAGGAUUAGAUACCCUGGUAGUCCACGCCCUAAACGAUG
rnacentral:rRNA from 1 species